CCUCACACCUUGUUUGAGCAUCCACCAAACAUACAUCAAGAAAGGCUGUGUGGGCUCUGUGACUUCUGCCACCACCCGGGUCGUCUCCCUCCCUAGAAGUGGCUACAGUUACCAGGCACAGCCCUCUGGGUCUGAGAGAAGACUGCAGCUGCCUCUAGCUUCUAGAAUACUUUGCUCACUGGCAUUUGGCAAAAUGGCACUUGAUUUAAUAGCAAGAGGAAUUUGCUGAUAUUCAACCAGCUUCCUGACAAUGAAAUUAAAGUUUGAUCCUGAUUCAUGACGGACCACGUCGACCAGCUGUCUUUCUUCUGGAAAGCUCCCUCAUUAUCCUAAUGCUGGCAGAGCCCCUGUUCUCCUGAGAACCUGCUUUCUGCUCUCCUCCAGAAAUGAACUCAAAGGAAAAGGAGUAAUUGCUGGUCUACUCGGAAUCACUGGGCCUCCACAACUAAGUGCAUUCCUGCAUGAAUCUAUUAAUUUCCAUUUCCAGGGCUUUCAGAUGUAAAACAAAUGUUUGAUGUAAUAUGCACCACUACUCUGCUAUAAUUAAACAACCUCUUA